rnacentral:lncRNA from 1 species
UCUAUAAUGUAUGCAUAGAUAAAAUCUAAGUCACCAUAUAGGAUCUAUGACAUAAACUAAUAUGCAUAUAUACACAUUUGAAAUCUAGAAUUCAGUAAGUACAGAAUAUAUCUAAAUAUAAUUAGAUCAUAUCUAAUUCAUAUUUAAAUUACAUCUAAAAAUUAAUUGAGAUCAAAAUCUCAUACUUGAGCGUGGAUAGU